rnacentral:misc_RNA from 1 species
GAUGAAGAACGCAGCGAAAUGCGAUAAGUAGUGUGAAUUGCAGAAUUCAGUGAAUCAUCGAAUCUUUGAACGCACAUUGCGCCCCUUGGUAUUCCAUGGGGCAUGCCUGUUCGAGCGUCAUUUGUACCUUCAAGCUUUGCUUGGUGUUGGGUGUUUGUCCCUCGGGACUCGCCUUAAAGUCAUUGGCAGCCAGUUUUUUGGUUUUGAAGCGCAGCACAAGUCGCGAUUCAAGGCUAUCCGCCCGCUUCCACAAGCCUUUUUCACUUUUGACCUCGGAUCAGGUAGGGAUACCCGCUGAACUUAAGCAUAUCAAUAAGCGGAGGA